UCGCCCAGGGAUGAGCCCGCGUCGGAUUAGCUAGUUGGUGAGGUAAAAGCUCACCAAGGCGACGAUCCGUAGCUGGUCUGAGAGGAUGAUCAGCCACACUGGGACUGAGACACGGCCCAG
rnacentral:rRNA from 1 species